AAUAGAUACCCAGGUAGUCCACGCUGUAAACGUUGGACACUAGGUGUGGCGGUCUGAUCAACGACUGCCGUGCCGAAGCUAACGCAUUAAGUGUCCCGCCUGGGGAGUACGGCCGCAAGGCUAAAACUCAAAGGAAUUGACGGGUCCCCGCACAAGCGGCGGAGCAUGCGGCUUAAUUCGAUGCAACCCGAAGAACCUUACCUGGGUUUGACAUCAUGGGAAAAGCCGUGGAAACACGGUGUCCGUAAGGGCCCAUGACAGGUGGUGCAUGGCUGUCGUCAGCUCGUGUCGUGAGAUGUUGGGUUAAGUCCCGCAACGAGCGCAACCCUUGUCCUAUGUUGCCAGCGGUUCGGCCGGGGACUCAUAGGAGACUGCCGGGGAUAACUCGGAGGAAGGUGAGGACGAUGUCAAGUCAUCAUGCCCCUUAUAUCCAGGGCUGCACGCAUGCUACAAUGGUCGGUACAACGGGCAGCGAUCCUGCGAAGGUGAGCGAAUCCCACAAAGCCGGCCUCAGUUCGGAUUGG
rnacentral:rRNA from 1 species